rnacentral:rRNA from 1 species
ACUUAAAUUGAAGAGUUUGAUCAUGGCUCAGAUUGAACGCUGGCGGCAGGCCUAACACAUGCAAGUCGAACGGUAACAGGAAGCAGCUUGCUGCUUUGCUGACGAGUGGCGGACGGGUGAGUAAUGUCUGGGAAACUGCCCGGUGGAGGGGGAUAACUACUGGAAACGGUAGCUAAUACCGCAUAACGUCGCAAGACCAAAGAGGGGGACCUUCGGGCCUCUUGCC